rnacentral:lncRNA from 1 species
UCGUCUAAAAAGGUGUCAAAUUCGUGAACAUCGAAUUUGGUUUCGAAAAUGUGGGAUCCGUACUUGUUGACCACGACUAUUUGCAGCAGUAUUCGAUGUGUGGAAUAAAAAUGCAUCAAUUUCGUUUUUCUUUUCCUUGAUGAAAGCGAAAUGUAUCUGAUUCGAACAAUGCAAUGAUGGGAGGAGUUUAACAGAUUAACCAAACCACGUCAGCACUCGCCCAUCGAUAAAUAAACAACAGUAGAAUCACAAAAAUAAAAUAAAAUUGGGAUCAUAAUAAUAUUAGCAUCGAGUCACGAUUACAGAACAAACCCUUCGACAAUUCACACGACCACGAAACGAACGAACAAACAAACAAUUAACCAAUCGCAAACCACGUAAAUAAAAAAAACAAUUAAUUAAUCGGAUGAACCAAACACGAUGCAUCCCAACGUUGCCGCCCCGCGCGUCGUCGCUCAGUGGAGGUAGUAGGCGAGGAAGGAGGCGACGAGCGCCCCGGCGGCGGGCACGGCGGCGGCGGCGGCGCCGCUUGCGCUAGGGCCAGCCGCACCACCGGCCGCGCCGGCGGGCGCCUCGGAGGGCGCCUCGGAGGCGACCGAGGCCAGCACGGCGGUGGCCGAGGCGGCGGCGACGAGGGCGGCGCAGAGGACCUUCUUCAUCUCCAUGGCUGGCGGGUGGAUCACUUCGUCGCUCCUGGAUAUAGUGGUCCAAGGAACCUGGCGUUCGAGGAGAUGUUAUUAGUUAUUGGGUGGAAUUGGGAGACUGCUCGCUCGACGGCCGGUGAUCUCUCAAUUGCUUCUCCUGCCUCUGGACGGGGCGCCGUUUUAUAGGGGCUCUGGUGCGGCAGCGCGAGCGGUCGCGAGCGAAGCAAGGGCGGCGGCUCAUUCAAUUGGCGGGCUGGCCGUGCGUGAGUGACCGAAAUAGGGUUGGGUUAGCUGGUUGGUUUGCAAUUUUUUUUUUGCAAGUGUUGGAGUUGGAUUAAUAUUUUCUAUGUCAUUUGUGGCUGAGACAAAUUCAAUUCCCGUUCUUUGAUUUUUCUGACAAAAAAAUCAAUCGGAAAAGAAUAAAAAUAGAUGGAUAAAUAUUGUUACUUAGAAGUUGCUACUGAGAAAUAUUUUAUUGUAUUGGCAAAACACGCAUGUUUCCUCUCACGUUAAUCUCUUCGAAAGAAAUAUUGCAUGCUCUAGUAGUUGCAAAUAGCAGUUACACUUGAGAAUGAGUAAAUAUAUUUUGUUCUAUAUGCUACCAUCAAAAUGAUUAUGAUACCGGGAUAUAAGUUCAGUUCAUUUCCAUUAAUAUUAAUUUACAUAUUAGAAGCUAUUUAAUUUGGGUCUACUGCAGAGCACAAUUAAAUAACUUGGGAAUUUCCAUAACACAAAUAAUUUGGGCUUGGCACAAAUAAUAAUUUCUAUAAAUUCCAAAGACUCACUCACACAUGUAUAAUAUGGUGGUAACUUCGGAACCAUCUUGUUACUUUAGGAGGAGUAAGGUUAACUUAAAUAGUCGAGUUGUCUCUACCUGAUUAAAGCUAUUAAGAAAAGAAAAUGGGAAAACUCGCACGCUCGCUCUCCUUGUUGGGACGAGACGGGGACAUGGGCGCACGACAUGCACAACAUGCGCUUCAUUUCGAAUUUCAAUAUUGUCAAAGGUUAUAAAUGCCAAGCGUGUGUGCAAGCAAAGCAACUGCAUAAGCCACACAAGGCUGUAGACGAGAGGCACAUGACAUUAUUAGAGCUCAUACACUCUAAUAUUUGUGACAUGAAUGGUGUGUUGACAAAAGGAGGUAAAAUAUACUUUAUGACUUUAAUUAAUGCUACAACUAAGGUAUUGUUAUGUGUUUCUACUAAAAACUAAAUAUGGAACGCUAGGAUGUUUUAAGACUUAUAAAACUAAGGUGGACAAUCAAUUGGAAAAAGAAAAUAAAACAUGUUAGGUUUCAUCGUGGUGGGGAGUAUUUUUCCAAUGAGUUUGAUCUUUUCUAUUCAGAGAAUGGAAUAAUUCAUGAACGAACACCUCCAUACUCGCCUCAAUCUAAUAGGGUUGUCGAAAGAAAGAAUCCGACGUUAAUCGACUAGGUGAAUACCAUGAUAGAAACAUAUAAUAUGGCAAAGGCAUGUGGGGGAGGAUGUUUUGACAACAUGUCAUGUUCUGAAUAGUGUUCCCAUUAAAAAUAGUGAGAUAACUGUACGAAGGAUGAAAAGGAAGGAAACUUGUCACACCCGAAUUUAAGGGGUAAACGCGGGUACAUCUUAUAUGUGCGCUAAAGAAGAACAACCCAUAUAAUGACCAAGUGUAUAGAGAUAAAUAUCGCAAACAUUUUUACAAAGUGGAAGUGUCUUAUAAAGAUAAAUCAUAACAAUAAACCGAACUAAUAUUAUUUCCUUGGCGCCAUUAAGUCAACUGGGAGACGACUCCUAGACCUCGUCAAACUCCUCGUAGCAGUCGUCCUCCUGGGCUACCUGCUCUUCACCUGUGGGGGGGAGAGUUUUAUCGCAGGAGUGAGCUCACAAAAGUUCAUCGCUCAGCAAGUGUGGGGAAUAAUGUGUAUAAGCUCACCAAAAGCGGGGGGCUCAUGUAUGGUAUUAGGCUGAUCAAUAAAUAAUGGUUAAGGCAAAGCAUUGCUUUUAAUAAGUUGGUCAAGUUUUAUUAGCAGUUACUAAGUAUAAGUAAAUACCAACCUAAAUAAUGAGAGAUCAAAAUUAAUAAAUAAACCACAAUGCGAUGCAAAUGACCAAUUAAGUUUAAUUCCAUAAGUUACUCAUGUGAGGGUCCGAGCCGCUCAUGACCGUGAGCACGACCGAUAUACCAGUUUUAUACUCUGUAGAGGUUGCACAUCUUUACCCAUAAGUCAUGUUACCCAUCUGCCAUGGGGUUGUACGGACCCCAUACACCUCUACGAAGGAGGCGAGGCAGGGUAGCACUACGAGGCCUUUAUAAAGUUCCAUUAGCUUUAGAAAACCCGCUACAUUUUCUGAGGAGAGCAAUAUAGGAAUCCCCUAUCUGAAAAGACAUCGCAGUAAGAUCAACCUGAGAACCACCCUACACCGACACUCCCCUACCGCCCUUGCCCCUUUUGGGUAAGGUAGUCCUCCACUAGCUUUCCUAAUUAGUCACCAAGGGUGUCCCAUACCACCCUUGUAGUAGCACUGUUUUCUUGGGUGGUUCUCCAUGUUCUAAUUAACAUAAUGAUCUUGUCAUGAACAAUAAAUAACUCAUUGGCAAUGAAUAGCAUGAUCAUGAAUAAUGUGUAUCUUAACACCUAAAACCACAUAAAGCAAUAGCACAUACUACCCAAAAGUUCAAUGGUAAACAAGGUAUAAAGAUGACCAAUCUAGGAUGACCUAUUGGGUCCCAGCAAAAUUAACCUAUGCAGAUCAUAAUGAUUAACAAGAACAUUAUUGGAUAAAGAAAAGUGAUCAAGGGCACAACUUGCCUUCAAUGAGCUCCUGCUCGGAGUUUUCCACCUGCUGAGUACCAGGGUCCUCGGUCACUUGUUCGUCUACUCGCAACAAUACAAAGAAACAUGGUAUAGGACAUAUUAACAUCAUACCAAACAUAAGAACAUACCGCAUAAUAAUGUUCUACGCAUCGUAACGAGAUCGCAGGUUCGAGAACCACUAAAUUUGGAGUUACGAUUAAAGAGUUAUGAUUUUUUGAUGAUUUAGGUGUGGGACAUAAAACAAAUUAAGUGCAUGAUUUUAACCAUAUGUUUCAUAACAAAAUAAGGUUACUAGAAGAUAAACAAUAUUAAUAUGAAUUUAAUGCAUCUGGAAUGGAUAAAAAGGAGUUAAAAAUGAAUUACUUAUGAAUUAAACAAGUUUCUAAAAUUAUUUCUAUACUAAAAAACAUUUUCUGAAUUAAUUUAUUCCAUUUAUUCACUUCCUGGGCUGUGACUAGGAUUUUCUAAUAGCUCAAGGUCUAUUUUGUGAAUUUCAGGGCCUAGUCAUAAUUUCUUUUGAACUAAUCUGGAUGGCAGGUUGAUAACUAAAUUAGGUAGGGGCCCUUUUACAAAGCGUCACGGUUGAAGGGGUAUCCUUCAAUUCUGGCCGUCGCUUAAAUGAAUCGGUGCGCUUGUGUAUAUGGUUAGAUCAUGAUCCAACGACCAGAUUUAAAGGCGCGAGGUGUCGCGACUAGAGCCGUAUAUCGGCCGAUCUACAACUAUCAUUGAAUCGAACGAAUCGUUAUGAGGGAUCUAAUCCUACCCGUCCAUUUUCUAAUCUACGCCACAGAGUUCAUCUUCCCCCAUGCCGGUGCAGACACAGCGGCAGCCAUCGCACCGCGGGGGCGCCAUGGACGGCCAUGACCACACCGGCCCUUUAGUGAGCCAAACUCCACGCUAAGAGCUCCUACACAAUGUGGUAACCAUGGCCAGAUUGAUGGGAGGGGUCUCACCGUCGGUAGAGUUGACGGCGAGCCAUGUUGGCAUCGCAGCACGGUUCCGCCUCGAGGGAUUGGCUCCGGCGAGCAUUUCCCAGCACUUCGACCACCGUUUUCGCCUAGGAAGACCUUCUUCGCGCGCGGCGCUCACCGACGAAGACCCCUAGCUCACUAUUGUGGCUCGUCACCGGUGCACGCGCAAGGUCGUCGAUGGUGGACGUUGAUUUCCCUCUCUCUCACGGUGCUUGCUUUGCGAUAGCUAGGGUUUGGGUAACGGCGCACGUCCACCUUAUAUCGGAACCUAGGGCUCACCUCAGGGCACCAUGCAAGCAGCGGGGUCCACGGAGACUGUUAUGCACCUGCGCGGAAGGGCGGUUGCGAGGCUCCCGGGUGAUUGAGACGAAGCUGCCGAUGCAUAGGGUAGUGCGGCUGUUCCGCAGGUCCCACAUGGCAGUGGCACUGGCGAGAAAACGAGUCAGCGCGCUGGUGCCAAGGCGGGUGAGCGGGAUGCAGCUAGGCUGACCUGGCCAAGUUGGCCCAGGUGACCUGUUUUCUUUUUUUCCUGUCUCUUUCUUUUUAUUCAUUUUCUGUUUUAUAUUCUCAUUUAUAAUUUGAAUUCAAGUUUAAGUUAUGAUAUCUUUAUUCAAACAAAAUGCAUCACAUAAAAAUAUCAGCAUGAAUGCACAUUUAAUUUGUUCAACUUGAUCUCUUUAUUUACAUAUGCAAAAGAGAAGAGAGAACAAUUAAUCACAUAGGGUUCCAUAAUUGCCAUGACUUAUUGUAUAAAUAAAAAUUUAUAUUUCAUCCAAAUUUUGGGCUUUACAAAACUAUUGCUCCAUUGUGUAUGUGGGGCUGCUUGGCCAUGGUUAGUGUACGAAUUAAUAAGAAACACAAGCUCAAACCUAAAUCAGUUGAUUGUAUCCUUUUGGGGUAUGCACACUAUAGCAUAGCUUAUAAGUUCUUGGUGAUAAAAUUAGACACACUUGAUAUUUUAGCAGAUUCACUUAUAGAGUAACGAGAUGCCACUUUCUUUGAGGAUAUAUUCUCGAUGAAAGAAAUAUACUCUUUAUCUAGCGAUUCAAAUGAAUUUAUUCCUGAACCCACACUUACAAUUGAGUCAAUUGAAAAUCCACUUGAAGACAAAGAGGAUGCUCCUAGGAGUAAGAGAUUAAUGAUUGAAAAGUCCUUUGGUGAAGACUUCACUAUGUACCUUGUCAAUGACACUCCACAACCAUAGCAGAGGCAUAUGCAUCACCCAAUGAGAAAUAUUGGAAGGAUGCAGUACAUAGUGAGAUAGACUCCAUCACUGCAAAUGGAACAUAGGAGUUUAUAGAUUGACCUAUGGUGAUGAGGACAUCACUCCCAUACAAACAAUACAUGGACCGACAACACGAGCAUGUGCACGAUAGCUAAAUCUCAAGGUUCGUUCUAACCGAGUUAACUGUGUUUUAGAGCUUAUGCUUCGUGCCAUGGAUGUUUUGAUGAUUAGCAACCUUGGAGAGGACCAGCAAGGACGUUCACAGCAAGAGAAAGUCAAGUUUGACUCAACUUUGUCUCCACCUUAGAGUCUAGGACCAGUCUGCACUAAAACGGAUGCCCAUGAUGCAUCCGAACAUUGACUAGAUUGGUCUUUAUAUGGAUGAAAAGCUAAGGAGAUAAGCUUUCUAACCCAACUAGGACCAACUUAAAAUUCAUCUAGAUUCAACGAGCAUCAUCGAAACAAGUCAGCGUUCAGAUUCUGUUUAGUGCUGCGACACCAUCUGUUGGGCUAUUGGCCCAUGUAUCGUGUUGGAGCCCAUUAGGGGUACCUCCAAGGGUUGUGCACGCCCCUAACCUCUAUUUUAUCAGCAGCCUCCGCCACAUUAGGGUUUGGGUCUUGCGUAGAUUUAUUCUAUCAUCGAACAAUGUUGUUGUUCAUCGGUUUGUGAGACCCAACUCGUAAUCAACAAACUUGUGUUCUUCCUGUUCUUGGUUAUGUUCUUGAUUGAGCUUACAGGGAUAAGCCUUCUUGGCGAAAACAUUCUUGUGUCAUGGGUGAUAACCAAUGGAGAAGUGGCAUAGUUAUUGCGGGGAUCCAUUCGCUCGGAGCCUUAGAUCAUGAACGUUGAGAUCUCCACCCAAUCAAGUUAUCCUACCUCACGGAAGAUCGGACCUUAUCCCCUAUCAAGUGGUAUCAAGGUUCAGUUUCCCGUGACAUAUAGUCCUACCUUUAGAUUCGUUUUGUCAUCCUAUAACCCACAAAAAAGCCAAAAAAGAACCAUAACCAUAUGUCAUAUCUUUAAAAACAAUUAGUGUAUCCUAACCUACAGACUUCGCCUAAGUCUUUGCAAAAUUUGGUUUUAGAUUUCGUCGUAUUGAGUUUGUGUCCUAGGUCAAGGUCUUGUUUCUUAUUUAGAUUUGUUUUAGUUCAGUUUAAUCCUUUUUAUCCGCUGUGAUCCCACAAAUUCAAUCUCCAAAACAAAUCCCAUCAUUUUUCAUCUCAUCAUCUCGUCCUUAUCAUAUUAGUUUCUGUCCAAUUUCAGUAUUUUGAGCAUAAAUCUCGUAUACGAACUCGGAAUUUAGUGUUCUUGUACUUUCUAGAAAACUUAGAACAUUAUCUACAACUUCUUUUAUUUACAAGAUUUAUUGAAAACAUGAGUAUCAAAGAGUUAUCUGUAUUGGAAGUAAAUUUGUUUGUGAUCCUAAAAUUUCAGACUAGUCCGUAUUUCGGUCUCAAUAUCUCCCACUUAAUUUAUCCAAAAUAGGUGAUCCAUAUAUCUAAAAGAAAGAGAAAAAUGAGACCUACAACUUUCAUGUUAUGAGUUUUUGCGUUUGAGGUCUCAAUUUGCCAAACAAUCUGUUGAAGUUAGAGCAGAAAAUAUGUGACAGACAGAUGAUAUUUUUUUGAUACUCUUGUGUUAGAUCUUAUUUUUGCAGCACUUUUGUGAAAAAGGGAAGAGCAAAAAAGCCACACAAAAAACAGAAAAAAAUAGAGAGAAAAGAGUGUGCAUAAGCAGGAACAUCAUUGAUCUGUGCACCUUUGUGAUUGUUUUUCAUUCCAACUUGUUCCUUUAUUGUACUUAAAUCCUUGUUGCCUCCUUUGUGUCUUCAUCCAACUGUGCUAAUAUAUUCUCUAGACUAGCAGCUAGGAUGAGUACUUUGGGCAUUUAUUCAUCAUUGUCAUUUGUUAAUUACUUGUGUGCCACAAAUAUAUAUUCAGUGAGCCUCCCCAAAGCUCCACCUUUCUCUCGAGUUGAACAUGUACUCCUUUGCAAUCACACCCAUGCUCUAAGUAUGGUCACACCAGCCACCAUUUGCCUCCUGCGGUGCUGGUAAGAACCUUGUAAGAGCGGGGUAAGACGAUUCAUAACUUGUGUUCCACCACCACCCCUGAGAGUAAUUGUAGGGUUUAUACUGUUUGUUUGUUACCUUUAUUUUCUGUUUUGUACUAACAAUGACAGGACCAAGUACCCAAAUGGAAAAGGAGUUGGGCCCUAAGCCUACUGAUGAUGAGUGUAUCUCCCAUAUAGAACUGAAGGAGAUGAUGUGCAUAUUGACUAAAGCUUUUGAGAGCCACACCAUUGAUGUUGAUUCGUCUUCCUCAUGUUCUAUAUAUCCAUCUGUCACUUCUUUUGAUGCAAAUAUUGCAAAUGAAUAUACUGAAUGGGAAGUAGCAAUGUAUAAGAUUUUUGCACAAUGUCGUAUAUGUGGUAGGAGAAAAAUUAAAGUUGUGGCUAGUACUUUAACAAAUCAUUUGUUAGUUUUGUGGAAUAAUUUGCAUGACUAUGAGAAACCACAAACUUGGACUGAUGUGAAAGCACUUAUGAGAAAACAAUUUGUUUCUAUGGAUGAUACUAAAAAUAAUUUGAGUAAUUCUAUUGAUGUCAUACCUUUAGAUAAAUCUGAGUUGCCCUUGUUACAAGAGGAUUGUCAUGUUGUUCCUUGUGAUAAAGAAGAGUUGUGUGAUGAUAAUACUAUUAUUUCUAUGCCACAACUAGAGAACAAACUUGAUGUUGUUGCUUCUGAUCCUGUUAAUUGUGCCAAAACAAUCCUAUAACUAGUGUGUACGAUGAACUAAAAUUGUUGUCUUCUUUAAAUACUUUGGGCUAUAUUGAAUUUGAUGUUCUAUGUAUUCUAAAUAAUUUAGAGGAGAAACUUUCUUUUAGUGCUGAUUUGCCAUGGUUAUCUAAACAUAUAUAUCAUGUUAUUGGAAGAUAUAAUUGGAAAGGAGAAUAUAUGGUACAUCGAGUAUAUAUUUGUUCAAAUCUGAAAUCUCCUUUUGUCAUGAAAAAUAUGAUCAAUUAGAGGGUUGUGUUAAAGCUAACAAUAUCACAUCUAGUUCCACUUGUACUUCUUUGUAUGUUUUGCAACAACAGGGUCAACUCAAGAAGGGGAGCAACGUUGGACGACAUCAAGCACUACAAUAACACCUUAUGCAGGCACCAACGACUUUGAGUCGAGAACAACUCAAAACAAAUAAGGGGAGAAUGAUGUGUACAUGGAUGUUAACUAUAUGGUCAAGGACCAAUUAAUCAUAGGGUCCCAAGCUCAAGGGAGUUGAAG